GACGAACGCUGGCGGCGUGCUUAACACAUGCAAGUCGAACGGAAAGGCCCUGCUUUUGUGGGGUGCUCGAGUGGCGAACGGGUGAGUAACACGUGAGUAACCUGCCCUUGACUUUGGGAUAACUUCAGGAAACUGGGGCUAAUACCGGAUAGGAGCUCCUGCUGCAUGGUGGGGGUUGGAAAGUUUCGGCGGUUGGGGAUGGACUCGCGGCUUAUCAGCUUGUUGGUGGGGUAGUGGCUUACCAAGGCUUUGACGGGUAGCCGGCCUGAGAGGGUGACCGGCCACAUUGGGACUGAGAUACGGCCCAGACUCCUACGGGAGGCAGCAGUGGGGAAUAUUGCACAAUGGGCGGAAGCCUGAUGCAGCAACGCCGCGUGCGGGAUGACGGCCUUCGGGUUGUAAACCGCUUUCGCCUGUGACGAAGCGUGAGUGACGGUAAUGGGUAAAGAAGCACCGGCUAACUACGUGCCAGCAGCCGCGGUGAUACGUAGGGUGCGAGCGUUGUCCGGAUUUAUUGGGCGUAAAGGGCUCGUAGGUGGUUGAUCGCGUCGGAGGUGUAAUCUUGGGGCUUAACCCUGAGCGUGCUUUCGAUACGGGUUGACUUGAGGAAGGUAGGGGAGAAUGGAAUUCCUGGUGGAGCGGUGGAAUGCGCAGAUAUCAGGAGGAACACCAGUGGCGACGGCGGUUCUCUGGGCCUUUCCUGACGCUGAGGAGCGAAAGCGUGGGGAGCGAACAGGCUUAGAUACCCUGGUAGUCCACGCUGUAAACGGUGGGUACUAGGUGUGGGGUCCAUUCCACGGGUUCCGUGCCGUAGCUAACGCUUUAAGUACCCCGCCUGGGGAGUACGGCCGCAAGGCUAAAACUCAAAGGAAUUGACGGGGCCCCGCACAAGCGGCGGAGCAUGCGGAUUAAUUCGAUGCAACGCGUAGAACCUUACCUGGGUUUGACAUGGAUCGGGAGCGCUCAGAGAUGGGUGUGCCUCUUUUGGGGUCGGUUCACAGGUGGUGCAUGGCUGUCGUCAGCUCGUGUCGUGAGAUGUUGGGUUAAGUCCCGCAACGAGCGCAACCCUUGUUCACUGUUGCCAGCACGUUAUGGUGGGGACUCAGUGGAGACCGCCGGGGUCAACUCGGAGGAAGGUGGGGAUGACGUCAAGUCAUCAUGCCCCUUAUGUCCAGGGCUUCACGCAUGCUACAAUGGCUGGUACAGAGAGUGGCGAGCCUGUGAGGGUGAGCGAAUCUCGGAAAGCCGGUCUCAGUUCGGAUUGGGGUCUGCAACUCGACCUCAUGAAGUCGGAGUCGCUAGUAAUCGCAGAUCAGCAACGCUGCGGCGAAUACGUUCCCGGG
rnacentral:rRNA from 1 species